rnacentral:rRNA from 1 species
CCUACGGGAGGCAGCAGUGGGGAAUAUUGCACAAUGGGCGCAAGCCUGAUGCAGCCAUGCCGCGUGUGUGAAGAAGGCCUUCGGGUUGUAAAGCACUUUCAGCGGGGAGGAAGGCGGUGAGGUUAAUAACCUCAUCGAUUGACGUUACCCGCAGAAGAAGCACCGGCUAACUCCGUGCCAGCAGCCGCGGUAAUACGGAGGGUGCAAGCGUUAAUCGGAAUUACUGGGCGUAAAGCGCACGCAGGCGGUCUGUCACGUCGGAUGUGAAAUCCCCGGGCUCAGCCUGGGAACUGCAUUCGAAACUGGCAGGCUAGAGUCUUGUAGAGGGGGGUAGAAUUCCAGGUGUAGCGGUGAAAUGCGUAGAGAUCUGGAGGAAUACCGGUGGCGAAGGCGGCCCCCUGGACAAAGACUGACGCUCAGGUGCGAAAGCGUGGGGAGCAAACAGGAUUAAUACCCGGGUAGUC